rnacentral:rRNA from 1 species
UACGUAGGGUGCAGGCGUUAAUCGGAAUUACUGGGCGUAAAGCGUGCGCAGGCGGUCUUUUAAGUCAGAUGUGAAAUCCCCGGGCUUAACCUGGGACUGCGUUUGAAACUGGAAGGCUAGAGUGUGGCAGAGGGGGGUGGAAUUCCACGUGUAGCAGUGAAAUGCGUAGAGAUGUGGAGGAACACCGAUGGCGAAGGCAGCCCCCUGGGCUAACACUGACGCUCAUGCACGAAAGCGUGGGGAGCAAACAGG